rnacentral:rRNA from 1 species
AGCUCCAAUAGCGUAUAUUAAAGUUGUUGCAGUUAAAAAGCUCGUAGUUGGAUUUCUGGUUUGGACGUCCGGUCCGCUCUUUGAGCGCGAACUAUGGAUGUUUGGACCUUUUUUGUGAGGAUGCCUUUCUGCCAUUAAGUUGGUGGUUGGGUGGACUUGCAUCGUUUACUGUGAAAAAAUUAGAGUGUUUAAAGCAGGCGUUUGCUCAUUUGAAUACAUUAGCAUGGAAUAAUAAGAUACGACCUUGGUGGUCUAUUUUGUUGGUUUGCACACCAGGGUAAUGAUUAAUAGGGACAGUUGGGGGUAUUCAUAUUUCAGCGUCAGAGGUGAAAUUCUUGGAUCGCUGAAAGAUGAGCUUAGGCGAAAGCAUUUACCAAGGAUGUUUUCAUUAAUCAAGAAC